rnacentral:rRNA from 1 species
UACGUAGGGGGCAAGCGUUGUCCGGAUUUAUUGGGCGUAAAGCGCUCGCAGGCGGUCCGUUGCGUCGGGCGUGAAAGACCCCGGCUCAACUGGGGAGGGUCGUGCGAUACGGGCGGACUGGAGGCCAGUAGGGGGAUGCGGAAUUCCGGGUGUAGUGGUGGAAUGCGUAGAGAUCCGGAGGAACACCAGCGGCGAAGGCGGCAUCCUGGACUGGUCCUGACACUCAGGAGCGAAAGCGUGGGGAGCGAUCCGG